CUCUGAUUCUGCUUAAUGUGUUUGUGAUAUCUUGGAAACAAGUAUCACCACUUGCUAAUGCAAGGGUUUCUAUUUGGAGAUACACUAUGAAAAGCUUUUUUGUAUCCUUUUAAGGUACAAGCUAAAUUGAAUCACAGUGUAUCUACAGAUAUUACAAUUUUGCUGCAGCACAGGAUUAACCCUCUAAAGAUUCCCAUUCAGAACUUUUGGACUCUUAAGCAAGUUUUUAAAUAUAUUUUAUGUGCAUAAUCUAACUUGAUGUGAUGCAUAGAGG